rnacentral:rRNA from 1 species
UGGGAACCUUCCCUAUGGUUCGGAAUAGCUCAGGGAAACUUGGGGUAAUACCGGAUAAGCCCUUCGGGGGAAAGAUUUAUCGCCAUUGGAUGGGCCCGCGUCGGAUUAGCUAGUUGGUGGGUAAUGGCCCACCAAGGCGACGACGGGUAGCCGGCCUGAGAGGGCGACCGGCCACACUGGGACUGAGACACGGCCCAGACUCCUACGGGAGGCAG